rnacentral:rRNA from 1 species
GACGAACCGUGCGAACGUUGUUCGGAUUCACUGGGCUUAAAGGGCGCGUAGGCGGCUUGCCAAGUCAGGGGUGAAAUCUUUCGGCUCAACCGGAAAAGUGCUUCUGAUACUGGCGAGCUGGAGGGAGGUAGGGGCAGAUGGAACUUCCGGUGGAGCGGUGAAAUGCGUAGAUAUCGGAAGGAACGCCGGUGGCGAAAGCGAUCUGCUGGACCUCUUCUGACGCUGAGGCGCGAAAGCCAGGGGAGCGAACAGG